AACACUUUUUCAUACCAAUAUUGUACAUACAUGUGAUUGUAAAAGUUUUGUAUAUUUUGGUUUGGCCCAUCGCGGGUURUCUGUAUUCCCAUACCCCUUUAUCGUUCUCUUUUGCCUGACCUUCGGCUAGCAAGGUGCCGGAGAGCUGUUACUGCGCCAAGGGUAACAUGUGUGUUGUCUCUUCGUGUGCAGGGCAAAUAAAAAGAUUUCAACGAGCAG